AUUGAACGCUGGCGGAAUGCUUUACACAUGCAAGUCGAACGGUAGAGGGGGCAACCUCUCGAGAGUGGCGAACGGGUGAGUAAUAUAUCGGAACGUGCCCAGUCGUGGGGGAUAACGUAGCGAAAGUUACGCUAAUACCGCAUACGAUCUACGGAUGAAAGCGGGGGACUCGCAAGAGCCUCGCGCGAUUGGAGCGGCCGAUAUCAGAUUAGGUAGUUGGUGGGGGUAAAAGGCUCACCAAGCCAACGAUCUGUAGCUGGUCUGAGAGGACGACCAGCCACACUGGAACUGAGACACGGUCCAGACUCCUACGGGAGGCAGCAGUGGGGAAUUUUGGACAAUGGACGCAAGUCUGAUCCAGCCAUUCCGCGUGCAGGAUGAAGGCCCUCGGGUUGUAAACUGCUUUUGUACGGAACGAAAAGGUUUCCAUUAAUACUGGGAGCUCAUGACGGUACCGUAAGAAUAAGCACCGGCUAACUACGUG
rnacentral:rRNA from 1 species